rnacentral:rRNA from 1 species
AUUGAACGCUGGCGGCAGGCUUAACACAUGCAAGUCGAGCGAGGGGCGGACGGGUGAGUAGUGUCUGGGAAUCCGCGUGAUGGAGGGGGAUCUCUACUGGAAACGGUCGCUAAUACCGUAUUCUAUCAGGUGCGCCCAUGGGGGUUUAGCUAGUAGGGGGGGUAAUGGCUCCCCUAGGCGACGACCCCUAGCUGGUCUGAGAGGAUGACCAGCCACACUGGGACUGAGACACGGCCCAGACUCCUACGGGAGGCAGCAGUGGGGAAGAUUGCACAAUGGGCGCAAGCCUGAUGCAGCCAUGCCGCGUGUGUGAAGAAGGCCUUAGGGUUGUAAAGCACUUUCAGCGAGGAGGCGUUACUCGCAGAAGAAGCACCGGCUAACUCCGUGCCAGCAGCCGCGGUAAUUC